UACGUAGGGUGCAAGCGUUAAUCGGAAUUACUGGGCGUAAAGCGUGCGCAGGCGGCUUUGCAAGACAGAUGUGAAAUCCCCGGGCUCAACCUGGGAACUGCAUUUGUGACUGCAUGGCUGGAGUGCGGCAGAGGGGGAUGGAAUUCCGCGUGUAGCAGUGAAAUGCGUAGAUAUGCGGAGGAACACCGAUGGCGAAGGCAAUCCCCUGGGCCUGCACUGACGCUCAUGCACGAAAGCGUGGGGAGCAAACAGGAUUAGAAACCCUCGUAGUCC
rnacentral:rRNA from 1 species